AACGAACGCUGGCGGCAUGCCUAACACAUGCAAGUCGAACGGGAUCCUAGCUUGCUAGGUGAGAGUGGCGGACGGGUGAGUAACACGUGGGAAUCUGCCUUUUGGUUCGGGAUAACCGCGGGAAACUGCGGCUAAUACCGAAUGCCCUCGAGAGAGGAAAGAUUUAUCGCCAGAAGAGGAGCCCGCGUCCGAUUAGGUAGUUGGUGGGGUAAAGGCCUACCAAGCCGACGAUCGGUAGCUGGUCUGAGAGGAUGAUCAGCCACACUGGGACUGAGAUACGGCCCAGACUCCUACGGGAGGCAGCAGUGGGGAAUAUUGGACAAUGGGGCGAACCCUGAUCCAGCAAUGCCGCGUGAGUGAUGAAGGCCUUAGGGUUGUAAAGACUCUUUUGCCAGGGGAAAGAUGAUGACUGUACCUGGAGAAU
rnacentral:rRNA from 1 species